rnacentral:rRNA from 1 species
GACGAACGCUGGCGGCGUGCCUAAUACAUGCAAGUUGAGCGAUGAAGAUUGGUGCUUGCACCAAUUUGAAGAGCAGCGAACGGGUGAGUAACGCGUGGGGAAUCUGCCUUUGAGCGGGGGACAACAUUUGGAAACGAAUGCUAAUACCGCAUAACAACUUUAAACAUAAGUUUUAAGUUUGAAAGAUGCAAUUGCAUCACUCAAAGAUGAUCCCGCGUUGUAUUAGCUAGUUGGUGAGGUAAAGGCUCACCAAGGCGAUGAUACAUAGCCGACCUGAGAGGGUGAUCGGCCACACUGGGACUGAGACACGGCCCAAACUCCUACGGGAGGCAGCAGUAGGGAAUCUUCGGCAAUGGACGAAAGUCUGACCGAGCAACGCCGCGUGAGUGAAGAAGGGUUUCGGAUCGUAAAACUCUGUUGGUAGAGAAGAACGUUGGUGAGAGUGGAAAGCUCAUCAAGUGACGGUAACUACCCAGAAAGGGACGGCUAACUACGUG